rnacentral:misc_RNA from 1 species
AGCGUUAAUCGGAAUUACUGGGUAAAGCGUGCGCAGGCGGUUCGGAAAGAAAGAUGUGAAAUCCCAGAGCUUAACUUUGGAACUGCAUUUUUAACUACCGAGCUAGAGUGUGUCAGAGGGAGGAAUUCCCGCGUGUAGCAGUGAAAUGCGUAGAUAUGCGGAGGAACACCGAUGGCGAAGGCAGCCUCCCUGGGAUAACACUGACGCUCAUGCACGUGAAAGCGUGGGGAGCAAACAGGAUUAGAUAUGGGUAGUCCACGCCCUAAACGAUGUCAACUAGCUGUUGGGGCCUUCUUCGGGCCUUCGGUAGCGCAGCUAACGCGUGAAGUUGACCGCCUGGGGAGUACGGUCGCAAGAUUAAAACCUCAAAGGAAUUGACGGGGACUCGCACAAGCGGUGGAUGAUGUGGAUUAAUCUUUGAUGCAACGCGAAAAACCUUACCUACCCUUGACAUGUCUGAAUCCCGAAGAGAUUUGGGAGUGCUCGGUAAGAGAACCGGAACACAGGUGCUGUAUGGCUGUCGUCAGCUCGUGUCGUGAGAUGUUGGGUUAAGUCCCGCAACGAGCGCAACCCUUGUCAUUAGUUGCUACGAAAGGGCACUCUAAUGAGACUGCCGGUGACAAACCGGAGGAAGGUGGGGAUGACGUCAAGUCCUCAUGGCCCUUAUGGGUAGGGCUUCACACGUCAUACAAUGGUCGGGACAGGGUCGCCAACCCGCGAGGGGGGCCAAUCCCAGAAACCCGAUCGUAGUCCGGAUCGCAGUCUGCAACUCGACUGCGUGAAGUCGGAAUCGCUAGUAAUCGCGGAUCAGCAUGUCGCGGUGAAUACGUUCCCGGGUCUUGUACACACCGCCCGUCACACCAUGGGAGUGGGUUUUACCAGAAGUAGUUAGCCUAACCUCGUAUGAGGGCGAUUACCACGGGUAGGAUUCAUGACUGGGGUGAAGUCGUAACAAGGUAG